GAAAAGUUAAUUUAAAAAAAAUAUUGUCUUGUCAAGACAAAAAUAUAUAAUGUUAUACUUUUCU
rnacentral:tRNA from 1 species